rnacentral:rRNA from 1 species
GAUGAACGCUGGCGGCGUGCCUAAUACAUGCAAGUCGAGCGAACGGACGAGAAGCUUGCUUCUCUGAUGUUAGCGGCGGACGGGUGAGUAACACGUGGAUAACCUACCUAUAAGACUGGGAUAACUUCGGGAAACCGGAGCUAAUACCGGAUAAUAUUUUGAACCGCAUGGUUCAAAAGUGAAAGACGGUCUUGCUGUCACUUAUAGAUGGAUCCGCGCUGCAUUAGCUAGUUGGUAAGGUAACGGCUUACCAAGGCAACGAUGCAUAGCCGACCUGGGAGGGGGAUCGGCCACACUGGAACUGAGACACGGUCCAGGCCCCUACGGGAGGCAGAGGUAGGGAAUCUUCCGAAAAGGGCGAAAGCCUGACGGAGCAACGGCGCGUGGGUGAUGAAGGUCUUCGGGUCGUAAAACUCUGUUAUUAGGGAAGAACAUAUGUGUAAGUAACUGUGCACAUCUUGACGGUACCUAAUCAGAAAGCCACGGCUAACUACGU